rnacentral:rRNA from 1 species
AAAGAUUAAGCCAUGCAUGUAUAAGUACAUUUUUUGAAACUGCGAACGGCUCAUUAGAGCUUAUAUAAAGUUUCCGGCUGCCUUUUAGGCUAUCUUCGACAAAUUGAAGCUAAUACACGCAAACAUGUCCUUUUCGGAGGGCGCGAUAUUAGAACUACUGGCUUGCCGGCGGUUGAAUUCAAUUAUCGUUAUAUAUCGGAAGGCGACUUCCGAUGGCCGGAAACUGUGUACGCCCUAUCACCCAGCAGGUUAGUUAUUCGCUAACCAGGGGUAUUACGGGUAACGGAGAACUAGGGUUCGUCUCCGGAGAAGAAGCCUUUGAAAGGCUACUACAUCCAAGGAAGGCAGCAGGCGCGUAACUUAUCCACUACCACAGUGAGAUAGUAACUAGUCUUAACUAUUGACUGAUCUUUUAGGUUAGUCAUGGUCCAUGAGUUGAGCCUAAAUAGCUCUUCGAGGACCAAGUGGAGGGCAAGUCUGGUGCCAGCAGCCGCGGUAAUUCCAGCUCCACUAGCGUAAAAUAUUACUGCUGCGGUUAAAAAGCUCGUAGUUGAAUCUAGUCGUGUCCGUAGAGUUUGUCGUUGGCGUUUAUUCGUCUCUGGCGUUAACUCUCGGCCGAUUUUUGCUGGUUUGCUGUUGGUCUUCGGAUCUUCGGUGGCUAGCGAGUUACUUUGAUCAAAUCAGAGUGCUCAAAACAGG